UUCUCUAUAAAAGCCAACCCUCUCACGCCUCUGAAUCGAUCAUAAGAGCACCACCGAAGACGAUAAGAUGAGGACAGUCGUCAGGUGUCGUGCUUCUCUCCUCCUCACACUCGUCAUCGUCGUCUUCCUCGUCACAGUAGCGAGAGGGGAGCCGACCCCUGUGAAGGAAGCGAACCCGCAUAUUCCAUACAGCGCCGUGCGCCCUAGCAGUCAGCCCCACCGCGCCCCAGCUCCCUCGACGAGGGGAUGCCGCAGCAAUUACUACUGCCGUCCACCUUCGACACCAUGAUAGGCUGCUUCGACAGUAUGGAGGAGUAAUUCCUUUGACAACGCAAAAUAUAUACAGGAGGCAGAUACGUACAAUAUAUAUAUAUAUAUAUAUAUAUAUAUAUAUAUAUAUAUAUAUAUAUAUAUAUAUAUAUAUAUAUAUAUAUAUAUAUAUAUAUCUCUCUCCUAAACUUUUUCCAUGGUUGAAAUUGUUGUUACCUUAAAAUCCCUUAGCAAUGGUAAAAGCUCUAGACCUGAUGGAUAUACUGUUGAAUUUAUAAAUUAUAUUGGAUUAUGAUGUUGACCACUUCUAAUUA